UCCCUGGUGGCCCAGUGCUUAGGACUUGGCAUUGUCACUGCUGGGGCCCAGGUUCGAUUCCUGGUUGGAGAA
rnacentral:tRNA from 1 species